rnacentral:rRNA from 1 species
AGCUUGCAGAAGAAGCACCGGCUAACUCCGUGCCAGCAGCCGCGGUAAUACGGAGGGUGCGAGCGUUAAUCGGAAUUACUGGGCGUAAAGCGCAUGCAGGUGGUUUGUUAAGUCAGAUGUGAAAGCCCGGGGCUCAACCUCGGAAUUGCAUUUGAAACUGGCAAACUAGAGUACUGUAGAGGGGGUAGAAUUUCAGGUGUAGCGGUGAAAUGCGUAGAGAUCUGAAGGAAUACCGGUGGCGAAGGCGGCCCCCUGGACAGAUACUGACACUCAGAUGCGAAAGCGUGGGGAGCAAACAGGAUUAGAUACCCUGGUAG